rnacentral:rRNA from 1 species
GACGAACGCUGGCGGCGUGCUUAACACAUGCAAGUCGAACGGAAAGGCCCUGCUUUUGUGGGGUGCUCGAGUGGCGAACGGGUGAGUAACACGUGAGUAACCUGCCCUUGACUUUGGGAUAACUUCAGGAAACUGGGGCUAAUACCGGAUAGGAGCUCCUGCUGCAUGGUGGGGGUUGGAAAGUUUCGGCGGUUGGGGAUGGACUCGCGGCUUAUCAGCUUGUUGGUGGGGUAGUGGCUUACCAAGGCGUUGACGGGUAGCCGGCCUGAGAGGGUGACCGGCCACAUUGGGACUGAGAUACGGCCCAGACUCCUACGGGAGGCAGCAGUGGGGAAUAUUGCACAAUGGGCGGAAGCCUGAUGCAGCAACGCCGCGUGCGGGAUGACGGCCUUCGGGUUGUAACCCGCUUUCGCCUGUGACGAAGCGUGAGUGACGGUAAUGGGUAAAGAAGCACCGGCUAACUACGUG